rnacentral:rRNA from 1 species
GAUGAACGCUGGCGGCGUGCCUAAUACAUGCAAGUCGAGCGAACGGACGAGAAGCUUGCUUCUCUGAUGUUAGCGGCGGACGGGUGAGUAACACGUGGAUAACCUACCUAUAAGACUGGGAUAACUUCGGGAAACCGGAGCUAAUACCGGAUAAUAUUUUGAACCGCAUGGUUCAAAAGUGAAAGACGGUCUUGCUGUCACUUAUAGAUGGAUCCGCGCUGCAUUAGCUAGUUGGUAAGGUAACGGCUUAUCAAGGCAACGAUGCAUGGCCGACCGGAGAGGGUGAUCGGCCACACUGGAACUGAGACACGGUCCAGACUCCUACGGGAGGCAGCAGUAGGGAAUCUUCCGCAAUGGGCGAAAGCCUGACGGAGCAACGCCGCGUGAGUGAUGAAGGUCUUCGGAUCGUAAAACUCUGUUAUUAGGGAAGAACAUAUGUGUAAGUAACUGUGCACAUCGUGACGGUACCUAAUCAGAAAGCCACGGCUAACUACGUG